rnacentral:rRNA from 1 species
ACGAGCGGCGAACGGGUGAGUAACACGUGGGUGACCUGCCCUCAGCUCUGGGAUAAGCCUGGGAAACUGGGUCUAAUACCGGAUAUGACCUCCUAUCGCAUGGUGGGUGGUGGAAAGUUUUUUCGGCUGGGGAUGGGCCCGCGGCCUAUCAGCUUGUUGGUGGGGUGAUGGCCUACCAAGGCGACGACGGGUAGCCGGCCUGAGAGGGCGACCGGCCACACUGGGACUGAGACACGGCCCAGACUCCUACGGGAGGCAGCAGUGGGGAAUAUUGCGCAAUGGGCGAAAGCCUGACGCAGCGACGCCGCGUGGGGGAUGACGGCCUUCGGGUUGUAAACCUCUUUCGACCUUGACGAAGGCCUUCGGGUUGACGGUAGGGGUAGAAGAAGCACCGGCCAACUACGUGCCAGCAGCCGCGGUAAUACGUAGGGUGCGAGCGUUGUCCGGAAUUAUUGGGCGUAAAGAGCUCGUAGGCGGUGUGUCACGUCGGUCGUGAAAACUUGGGGCUUAACCCUGAGCUUGCGGUCGAUACGGGCAUCACUUGAGUUCGGCAGGGGAGACUGGAAUUCCUGGUGUAGCGGUGAAAUGCGCAGAUAUCAGGAGGAACACCGGUGGCGAAGGCGGGUCUCUGGGCCGAUACU